CUUGCUUUAGCAGGACAAAAAUUAGAAUGAUACAGAGAAGAUCAGCAUGGUCCUUUGUGCCAGGAUGAUAUGCAAAUUUGGGAAGCGUUCCAUAUUUUU
rnacentral:snRNA from 1 species